AUGUGUCCUGUGGGGGAAUCCCUGCUCCAGGCUGGCAGGGACGUGCUGCUGGCAGCAUUCCAGCUCCAGCAGCACCCCGCCAGCCCUCGGCACCGACAGCACCUGGCAGUGGCUGCCAGGAGGAUCCUGAUGGAGACGGCAAAGGUGAGGGGACACUGGGGAGGGACACAGGGAUGGGGAGGGAAGCUGCAGCAGAUCCAGGGAGCAAACCACACCUCCAGGGGUAAAACAGGAAUGGGAAUUCCUGACCUGAGCAGCUUUUCCGCCUUGUUUCCUGGUCAGCUCCUUCGGCUGGAAGAGGCUGCAGGGAUGAGGAGGAUCACUGGUGCUGCCAGCUGGCUCCUGGAAUGCCUGAGCGUGCUGCAGGAUGCCCGGGACGCCCCAGGGCUGCUGGCAGCAUUCCAGCCCUUCUCUGAGGCCCUGCUCCUGCUGAGCCACCUCACAGCCAAGCACAUCCAGCAAAUCCAAGACUGUCCUGCAGGGAAGAGCUUGGCCCACACCCUGCAGCUGCUCCACGAGUGUGUCCCACUCAUCCACACAGCCCUGACACGCUCCAGGGAUUGCCCAGCUGAGCUCUCCCAGGACCCUGUUUUCCAGCUGGUGGAGAGGACCAUCAGGGAGCUGCUCUCCCUGCUCAGGGAGCCACGGGACAGGAGUGGGAUCUUCUCCCAGCAGGUGAGCAGGCUCCAGGCUCUCCUCUCCCACCCUGACCCCCUGCACCUCUCCGAGGGCGGGUUCUGCUCCCCCCUGGAAACCGUCAUUCUCCAUGGAAUGCUGCUGGCAGAGUCAUCCAGGCUGGAUCUGCAGCUGGAGCUGGCGCAACGCUGCUGGGUCCUGCUACAGCUGAGGAGGAGCAUCUGCAGCCACAUGAGCCAGAGGGAGGAACAGGGAGAACACAGACUGGAGCGGGAAUGUCACAGCCUGAGGGAGGAGCUGGAAAAACUGGACAGGGCAGCGCUCAGGGCCACGCUGUGCCAAAUCCUGGAGGCAUUCUUCCAGGAGAAGGAGCCCCUGAGGCAGCUGGCUGAAGGUGCCCUCAGCCUUGCUGGUUCAGGGUGUUUUCCAGCAGGACCUGGAGGAAUUUUAAGGAAGCUCCAGCCCCUCAUUGCUGCCUUCUUCGCUCAGGCCCAGCGGAUGCUCCGGGCGGCCGAUCUGGUCCUGGCCAGGUGUGCCAAGGCCCAGACUGCCAGGGAAAUCCGGGAGGGCGUGGAGCACCUGCAGAGCCUGCUGGCCAGCCUCCCUUCCCUGCUCACAGAAAGGAGCAGGAAUUCCACAGAGCAGCUGCAGGCCCUGUGUUGUGCCUGGAGCAGAGCCAGCGACAGCCUCCUGCGCUGCUUUGAGCAGACCACUGGCGUGAGGGAGCUCCUGGAGUUCUCCCUCCUGGAGCUGGCCAGGCACAGGGAGGGGUGCCAAGGGGCACUGGAAGGCCGGGAUGCCGAGGGGUUCUCCUGGCACGCCGCUCGCCUGGCGGGCUGGGCACGCUGGGUGGUGGCAGCCACCACCCGGCACGUGGACAGCGCCACGGAUCCCAUCUUCAGGAACGGUUUGCUGGCGCGGGUGGAGCAACUGGCCAAAUCCAUCCUGGAGCUGGGAGCGGUCACAGCCCUCGUUCCUGGAAGGUUUUCCUGCCUGCAGGGCCGGGAUGCCUUUUCCCAGGCAGUGAGCUCCCUGAUGGACUCCGCUCUCCGUGUCCAAGCCGGGCUGGAUGGCUCCAACCACCCCGAGAUCCUCAGCCCGCUCCGGGAGCGCGUGCGGAGCGCCAAGCUGGGAACGGGGCUGGAGCCCAGCCCGUCCCACGGCGGGAGGGAUCGGGCAGAAUUCCCAGGAGAUUUCCAAAGCCAUCCAGCUGGCUUCCCCCUGGCCGGGGACACAGGGAAAGGGGACACGCACCCUGUGAUGGCAGCUCUGCUGGGAGCGUCCCGGGCCGGUGACGCGGCCGCUGUCCGUGCUGCGUGCUCCGUGCUGCUGGAGCUCUCCCGUGGCUGUGCGGAAGCUGCACGGGAAGCACUGCCCCUGGCUGAGCCCCCCCAGCUCCAGCUGCUGCAGCAGCACCAGGAUAUCACAGUGCUGACCCCACGGAUCAUCAGCCUGGCCAUGCAAACGGCCCCUGGGCGGCUCCCUGCCCCAGGCAGGCUGCUCCACAUGGCACUCAGGCUCUCGGCAAGGAUCCAGGAGACUCAGGAGUGCCUGGCAGCUGUGGCAGGCUCCUGGAAUGGUCUGGCCCAGCAAGUGCUCGGGUUUAUCCUGUCGGGUGACGUUCCAAGAGGGAAGCAGGCUUUGGAUGAGACCCUGCUGGGCUUAGCGGGAGCAGUGCAGGUGGCAGGAGACAUUGCAAGCGCAGCCUGCAGCAAGGAAAAUCCCAAUCCCUCCCAUGUCCAGGAGAGCUUUCUGCAGCUCCAAGCCAAGUUUUCCCGUGCUCAGCUGAGCACCAAAGCGUUCCUGGAGAAGGCAGUGUCCUUCAGGGAACCCUGUGGGAUGGAAAAGGCCAUCCUGGAGCUGCACGGUGCCCGCUGGGCCAUUGGCAUGUGUGUCCUGCUGCAUGCCAUGGAUCAGUUCGUGGGCAGGGAUGUCCUGUUCCUGAGGGAGCUGAGCAGAGCCGUGAGGAACAAGGCUGGCCCAGGGAGCCUCCUGGCUGCCGUGGCUGAGAAUUCCCUCAGGCUGCAGGAGGCUGCCCGGCUCUCCUACUUAUCCUGCCCUGGAGACCACGGUGCCAGAGAAAUCCUGGUGCUCCGGGAGGAGAUCCAGGUGUUCAUGGAAGCACUGCUGGAUGUGUCCAACACCCUGCUGCUCUCCCCACUGCCUGCUGCCAGCUUGGCCACCCACUUCGAGCUCCUGAGGAGGGACGUGGCCCUCAGGGCCAAGGCGCUGCUGCUCCACAUGGAAAGGAUCAACAUGGAACAGCUGCAGCUCAUCCAAGAUGUGGUUGGAGCAGCUCUGUCCAACCUCGCCCAAGAGCAGAGGGAGAGGAGCAAAGAAGGUUUUGAGGAGAAGGCAAGUCAGCUCCUGGCUGAUGUCCAGUGGGUCAGGAACACCCUGGAUGCUCGACUUCCAUCACAGCCUGACCUGCUGUCCAUGGCUGAGCACCUCCUGCUGCUCACGGCUGACGUGCUGGGAAGCGCCCGGCAGCGCUUCCAGAGGCACCAGGACCCUGGGGAUCCCCUCCAGGACCCUGGGGAUCCCCACCUGGACAGUGUGGUGUGGUACUGGUCGGCCAAGGCACACUACCUUGUCACACAGCUGCGGGUUAUCCAUGGAAUGGACAGGGACAUCCUGCGGCGCCCCACGGGACGCCUGCAGCAGGAAUCAUGCUUCCCUGGAUCACCCAGCUGCACAGCCAGGCUCUGCCCAGCCCCAGAGCCCACUGAGGCAGCAGGAACUCAUCCAUGCAGCAGCAGAGGAGCCCAUGGAGCCGUGCAGGAAGGGGGUGAGCUGGUACGGGAGCUCUUGUCCCCGGCAGGGUGUUGGUCAGGGCUGGCCUCGUGCCUGGUGCUGCCAGCGUGGAGCAGGAAUGUGAGGGAUGCUGGCAGGGCCUCUGGAGGUCAGCAGGCUGACCCUGGGCCACUGGGGCGGCUCAGGUUUCCAGCAGCCCUGGAUUCCUGGAUAUCUGAUGACAUCCUACAUCCAUCCCACUCCACCAUUUUCGAGGCAGGGGGGCUGUAG
rnacentral:lncRNA from 1 species